GACGAACGCUGGCGGCGUGCCUAAUACAUGCAAGUUGAGCGCUGAAGGUUGGUACUUGUACCAACUGGAUGAGCAGCGAACGGGUGAGUAACGCGUGGGGAAUCUGCCUUUGAGCGGGGGACAACAUUUGGAAACGAAUGCUAAUACCGCAUAAAAACUUUAAACACAAGUUUUAAGUUUGAAAGAUGCAAUUGCAUCACUCAAAGAUGAUCCCGCGUUGUAUUAGCUAGUUGGUGAGGUAAAGGCUCACCAAGGCGAUGAUACGUAGCCGACCUGAGAGGGUGAUCGGCCACAUUGGGACUGGGACACGGCCCAAACUCCUACGGGAGGCAGCAGUAGGGAAUCUUCGGCAAUGGACGAAAGUCUGACCGAGCAACGCCGCGUGAGUGAAGAAGGUUUUCGGAUCGUAAAACUCUGUUGGUAGAGAAGAACGUUGGUGAGAGUGGAAAGCUCAUCAAGUGACGGUAACUACCCAGAAAGGGACGGCUAACUACGUG
rnacentral:rRNA from 1 species